rnacentral:ncRNA from 1 species
AGGAUUUGGUGGUCAACUACUGACAAAACUACCAAGUUGACGUAUGAUAGGGCGGAGAGGAUUUUUGGUACUGGAGCGUUGAAAUACAUAGAGAUCGGAAAGAAUGCAACGAUGAAGGUAUUUUGCUAGGUUGAUACUGACACUGAGAGAUGAAAGCUAGGAGAGCGACGCAAUCUUAAUAAUUAUAGUCAUAAACGAUGAAUACUAGGCGUUGUGUGUAUCGAUCCAUGUAAUGCUAUAGCUAACGCAUUAAAUAUACC